rnacentral:rRNA from 1 species
UGUAAGCGUAUACCAAAGUUGUUGCAGUUAAAACGCUCGUAGUCGGAAUUUGGCAGUUCCGGAUGUGUGCACGUCGUGUGCGCACUUCGCGGGGAUUGCUUUUGUGGUCUUGCGUAGGAUGAGGCACUUUUAUUAGUGAACGUCCUCACGCAACCACUUUUACUGUGAGAAAAUCAGAGUGCUCAAAGCAGGCAUUUGCCGUGAAUGUAUUAGCAUGGAAUAAUAGAAUAGGACUUGGUUCUAUUUUGUUGGUUUGUUGGGACUGAGUAAUGAUUAAGAGGGACAGUUGGGGGCAUUUGUAUUUCGGUGCUAGAGGUGAAAUUCUUAGAUUACCGAAAGACAAACUGCUGCGAAAGCGUCUGCCAAGGAUGUUUUCAUUGA